rnacentral:rRNA from 1 species
UUGGGAACCGAUGCUAAUACCGGAUGUGCCGAGAGGUGAAAGGCUAGCCGCCUGAAGAAGAGCUCGCGUCUGAUUAGCUAGUUGGUGGUGUAAGGGACUACCAAGGCGACGAUCAGUAGCUGGUCUGAGAGGAUGAUCAGCCACACUGGAACUGAGACACGGUCCAGACUCCUACGGGAGGCAGCAGUGGGGAAUUUUCCGCAAUGGGCGAAAGCCUGACGGAGCAAUACCGCGUGAGGGAGGAAGGCUCUUGGGUUGUAAACCUCUUUUCUCAAGGAAGAAGUUCUGACGGUACUUGAGGAAUCAGCAUCGGCUAACUCCGUGCCAGCAGCCGCGGUAAUACGGAGGAUGCAAGCGUUAUCCGGAAUGAUUGGGCGUAAAGCGUCCGCAGGUGGUUGUGUGUGUCUAUUGUCAAAGCAUCAUGCUUAACAUGAUAAAGGCAGUAGAAACUACACGACUAGAGUGCGUUCGGGGCAGAGGGAAUUCCUGGUGUAGCGGUGAAAUGCGUAGAGAUCAGGAAGAACACCGGUGGCGAAAGCGCUCUGCUAGGCCGCAACUGACACUGAGGGACGAAAGCUAGGGGAGCGAAUGGGAUUAGAUACCCC